rnacentral:lncRNA from 1 species
AUAAUUGACAAUAGGCUCCCAUGGAAGUCUUCUCUGCAUUUCUGCAAAAAUUUAGGAAACAUUAGGUUUGACACCAUCAUCAUGUUUGCCAAGGCAGCAAAAAUCCCAGCCAGCAAAGCUUCAAGUGUGAUGAAGCAGAACAGCAAGGACAGCACGGAAUGACUGAUCAUUUCAGAAUGCCGUCUAGCGAGAGUUUCCAAUGUGGGAGUUUUCCAUUGUUUUGAAGCAGGAGAAAUAGGGACUGGGUGCUUUGGAAGAAACAUGCU